rnacentral:tRNA from 1 species
CAGGCCAUUCCUUAUAGUUGGAUUAUUCAUUUACGCUGAAUUAUUAUAUCGUGCAAUUCGAUAUGGUCUGA